UUCUGUGUCUGUAAAACGGGGAUCAUCAUGGAAGGAAGGAAGAGUUUAGUGAGGUCCUGAAAGCUGCUGUGCGACGCGGUCCUCGGACCUGGCCACCUGCCUCGCCCCGGCCGGGCCUGGCCUGCACUGGCCCGCACCGGCCCGCACCGGUCAGCACCGCCUCGCACCGGUCAGUACCGCCUCUCCGCUGUCCGCUCCUGCGCAGCCGUCCGCAGUUCCGCAUGCCACCGCCAGGUGUCGCUGCACACACGCCGUGGCCCCGAGGCUCCUCUGCAAGCCGCUCCGCGAGGCUCUAGGGGGCCCCCCAGGGUCCUGUUUCCCGCGGCCCGCAACUUAUCUGUGCACAGAGCACCCCCACGCUGCGCUAGGAACUUCCGCUGCUCCCCCACCACCUCACUCCUUCGUGCCUUUGAGCAUGCUGCCUGCAGUGCC
rnacentral:lncRNA from 10 species